AUUGAACGCUGGCGGCAGGCUUAACACAUGCAAGUCGAGCGAGAGGCGGACGGGGGAGUAGUGUCUGGGAAACUGCGUGAUGGAGGGGGAUAACUACUGGAAACGGUAGCGAAUACCGCAUACUAAAAGAUGUGCCCAUAGGGGAUGUGCUAGGAGGUGGGGUAAUGGCUCACCUAGGCGACGAUCCCUAGCUGGUAUGAGAGGAUGACCAGCCACACUGGAACUGAGACACGGUCCAGACUCCGACGGGGGGCAGCAGUGGAGAAUAUUGCACGAUGGGGGAAAGCCUGAUGCAGCCAUGCCGCGUGUGUGAAGAAGGCCUUCGGGUUGUAAAGCACUUUCAGCGAGGAGGCGGUACUCGCAGAAGAAGCACCGGCUAACUCCGUGCCAGCAGCCGCGGUAAUAC
rnacentral:rRNA from 1 species